AGUAGGGAUCUUCCGCAAUGGGCGAAAGCCUGACGGAGCAACGCCGCGUGAGUGAUGAAGGUCUUCGGAUCGUAAAACUCUGUUAUUAGGGAAGAACAAAUGUGUAAGUAACUAUGCACGUCUUGACGGUACCUAAUCAGAAAGCCACGGCUAACUACGUGCCAGCAGCCGCGGUAAUACGUAGGUGGCAAGCGUUAUCCGGAAUUAUUGGGCGUAAAGCGCGCGUAGGCGGUUUUUUAAGUCUGAUGUGAAAGCCCACGGCUCAACCGUGGAGGGUCAUUGGAAACUGGAAAACUUGAGUGCAGAAGAGGAAAGUGGAAUUCCAUGUGUAGCGGUGAAAUGCGCAGAGAUAUGGAGGAACACCAGUGGCGAAGGCGACUUUCUGGUCUGUAACUGACGCUGAUGUGCGAAAGCGUGGGGAUCAAACAGGAUUAGAUACCCUGGUAGUCCACGCCGUAAACGAUGAGUGCUAAGUGUUAGGGGGUUUCCGCCCCUUAGUGCUGCAGCUAACGCAUUAAGCACUCCGCCUGGGGAGUACGACCGCAAGGUUGAAACUCAAAGGAAUUGACGGGGCCCCCUCA
rnacentral:rRNA from 1 species